rnacentral:misc_RNA from 1 species
GUGAAUCAUCGAAUUUUUGAACGCAAAUUGCACUCUCUUCGGAGAGUAUGCCUGUUUGAGGGUCAGCCUAAAAAAAAUCGACAUCGUUGCUGUUUCGCGGUGGCGCUCGUCGGAAAUUGGGUCAUCUUAAAUCUUUUGGUUUAGGCGACUUAAAUUUCUCUUUACGAUUCCUUAAACGUUUCUAGGAUUUUAUUUCUUUACACGUUUAGGUUAGCUUUUUUUUGAGGCGGUGCCGUCAUA